AGACCACAGGCGCCGGUCUCCCACACGCCGCCGCACCUUCGGGUUCCAGCCUCACUGCCUGCGACAACCCGGCUCCGCACGACCUUUUAAAGGUAGCUUUUCUGAGCUCAAGGGAAAGCCCCAAAUAUGGGAACCUGGAAAGAAGUAUUGAGAGAGUGAUCCUUUGGGAUAGGAGGUUGAAGAAACAGCAUUUGUUCAGUGUGCCAGGCGAGAUCGUGCAUUCGUGUAUGAUUGUUUUAUUAUGAAUCCUUUCACAGGUGAGACACGUGUCCUCCUAAAACUCAAGGCGGGAAAAACACAAAAGGCCAGCCAGUUCCUGCUGGUGGACAUGCUGAAGGAGGACCUGAGAUGCUAAAGAAACAGCUCACACACAAGGGGAAGGAAGCCCAGGUAGAGGGUAUGGAUCCCUCGAACCUGUCAGCAGACGGAACACGCGGCUCCUCGUGUGCAGAGAAACAGCUCCAUCCGAGAACACAGCCUGGACCUCCGCCUACUCAUGUGAUGAAGGAACAACAGUAGCCUUGGCAACCCUCCCUUGUGCCACCUACCUGCAGCCAGCUUCUCCCCCACCACCAUCACCAGCAGGUCACUCUGGCCAUCUUUGAUGGCCCUCUAUGGGAGAUAUCACUAUGACCUCAGCUUCCCCCUGGUUGGUUGGCAAGAGUAUCUUGCUACAACCAACCUUUUCAUGGAUACAUGGUCAUAUCAUCUGCGGGCUGGUGAGGUGGACACCUGCCAUCAAGUCUGUCAAGCUGAGUUCUAUCCCUCAGACCAAGGUAAAAGAAGAGAACCAA
ensembl:antisense Gm13427 predicted gene 13427